GGGGGACGGAGAAGGCUAUGUUGGCCGGGCGACGGUUGUCCCGGUUUAAGCGUGUAGGCUGGUUUUCCAGGCAAAUCCGGAAAAUCAAGGCUGAGGCGUGAUGACGAGGCACUACGGUGCUGAAGCGACAAAUGCCCUGCUUCCAGGAAAAGCCUCUAAGCAUCAGGUAACAUCAAAUCGUACCCCAAACCGACACAGGUGGUCAGGUAGAGAAUACCAAGGCGCUUGAGAGAACUCGGGUGAAGGAACUAGGCAAAAUGGUGCCGUAACUUCGGGAGAAGGCACGCUGAUAUGUAGGUGAAGCGACUUGCUCGUGGAGCUGAAAUCAGUCGAAGAUACCAGCUGGCUGCAACUGUUUAUUAAAAACACAGCACUGUGCAAACACGAAAGUGGACGUAUACGGUGUGACGCCUGCCCGGUGCCGGAAGGUUAAUUGAUGGGGUUAGCGGUAACGCGAAGCUCUUGAUCGAAGCCCCGGUAAACGGCGGCCGUAACUAUAACGGUCCUAAGGUAGCGAAAUUCCUUGUCGGGUAAGUUCCGACCUGCACGAAUGGCGUAAUGAUGGCCAGGCUGUCUCCACCCGAGACUCAGUGAAAUUGAACUCGCUGUGAAGAUGCAGUGUACCCGCGGCAAGACGGAAAGACCCCGUGAACCUUUACUAUAGCUUGACACUGAACAUUGAGCCUUGAUGUGUAGGAUAGGUGGGAGGCUUUGAAGUGUGGACGCCAGUCUGCAUGGAGCCGACCUUGAAAUACCACCCUUUAAUGUUUGAUGUUCUAACGUGGGCCCCUUACCGGGGUUGCGGACAGUGUCUGGUGGGUAGUUUGACUGGGGCGGUCUCCUCCUAAAGAGUAACGGAGGAGCACGAAGGUUGGCUAAUCCUGGUCGGACAUCAGGAGGUUAGUGCAAUGGCAUAAGCCAGCUUGACUGCGAGCGUGACGGCGCGAGCAGGUGCGAAAGCAGGUCAUAGUGAUCCGGUGGUUCUGAAUGGAAGGGCCAUCGCUCAACGGAUAAAAGGUACUCCGGGGAUAACAGGCUGAUACCGCCCAAGAGUUCAUAUCGACGGCGGUGUUUGGCACCUCGAUGUCGGCUCAUCACAUCCUGGGGCUGAAGUAGGUCCCAAGGGUAUGGCUGUUCGCCAUUUAAAGUGGUACGCGAGCUGGGUUUAGAACGUCGUGAGACAGUUCGGUCCCUAUCUGCCGUGGGCGCUGGAGAACUGAGGGGGGCUGCUCCUAGUACGAGAGGACCGGAGUGGACGCAUCACUGGUGUUCGGGUUGUCAUGCCAAUGGCACUGCCCGGUAGCUAAAUGCGGAAGAGAUAAGUGCUGAAAGCAUCUAAGCACGAAACUUGCCCCGAGAUGAGUUCUCCCUGACUCCUUGAGAGUCCUGAAGGAACGUUGAAGACGACGACGUUGAUAGGCCGGGUGUGUAAGCGCAGCGAUGCGUUGAGCUAACCGGUACUAAUGAACCGUGAGGCUUAACCUUACAA
rnacentral:rRNA from 1 species